UACGUAGGGGCGAGCGUUGUCCGGAAUGACUGGGCGUAAAGGGCGCGUAGGCGGCCGUACAAGUCUUGCGUGAAAGUCCCGCUUUCAAGGUGGGAAUUGCGAGGGAAACUGUAUGGCUUGAGUGCGGAAGAGGUAAGUGGAAUUCCUAGUGUAGCAGUGAAAUGCGUAGAUAUUAGGAGGAAUACCAGUUGCGAAGGCGGCUCUCUGGACUGUAACUGACACUGAGGCUCGAAAGCGUGGGGAGCAAACAGGAUUAGAUACCCCGGUAGUCCCUGA
rnacentral:rRNA from 1 species